GCCCGUUUAGCUCAGUGGUAGAGCGCGCCACUCGUAUUGCGAUGGUGAGGUCGGUUGUUCAAUCCAGCCAAUGGGCA